rnacentral:rRNA from 1 species
AUGCAGCGACGCCGCGUGCGGGAUGACGGCCUUCGGGUUGUAAACCGCUUUCAGCAGGGAAGAAGCUUUUUGUGACGGUACCUGCAGAAGAAGCGCCGGCUAACUACGUGCCAGCAGCCGCGGUAAUACGUAGGGCGCGAGCGUUAUCCGGAAUUAUUGGGCGUAAAGGGCUCGCAGGCGGUUUGCCACGUCUGCUGUGAAAGCCCGGGGCUUAACUCCGGGUGUGCAGUGGGUACGGGUAGACUAGAGUGCAGUAGGGGAGACUGGAAUUCCUGGUGUAGCGGUGAAAUGCGCAGAUAUCAGGAAGAACACCGAUGGCGAAGGCAGGUCUCUGGGCUGUUACUGACGCUGAGGAGCGAAAGCAUGGGGAGCGAACAGGAUUAGAUACCCUGGUAGUCCAUGCCGUAAACGUUGGGCACUAGGUGUGGGGGACAUUCCACGUUUUCCGCGCCGUAGCUAACGCAUUAAGUGCCCCGCCUGGGGAGUACGGCCGCAAGGCUAAAACUCAAG